AGCGCCUAUAACAGGGCUAUUGAAUUAGUUUGUAAUGGGGGCCAGUUCAUAAAAAGCAUCACAACUGAGGGGCCGGAGAAAUGCGGCUUGAAAUAUGAGUAAUCACAUUACAGCUGUAGAUACAAUGAAGUACAACAGCAGCAAUAUGGGUGUUCAAAUGUUGUAUUCUGUACAUGCAUAACAUCAUCUUUAACUGGUUUUUGAUGGCUAAUAUACACUGCUCAAAAUAAA